AAAAUUAUAGUAUAAUUUUUAUUAUAUCCCAUUGUCAAUGGGAAGAUUCGUGAUUUUA
rnacentral:tRNA from 2 species